rnacentral:lncRNA from 1 species
GGGGAAUGCCAUGGCUGAUGGGGAAAGCUUGACUUAGGAACCAAGGGCACGGACUUGGCACAGAGCCGGGAUGUUUGAUAGAGCACCAAUGCUUUUCAGAGGGUGCCUCAUUAGUGAACCGUGGCACAGAUCAGGCCUCAG